rnacentral:rRNA from 1 species
UACGUAGGGGGCUAGCGUUGUCCGGAAUCAUUGGGCGUAAAGCGCGUGUAGGCGGUCCGGUAAGUCCGCUGUGAAAGUCGGGGGCUCAACCCUCGGAUGCCGGUGGAUACUGUCGGGCUUGAGUACGGAAGAGGCGAGUGGAAUUCCUGGUGUAGCGGUGAAAUGCGCAGAUAUCAGGAGGAACACCAAGUGCGAAGGCAGCACGCUGGGACGUUACUGACGCUGAGACGCGAAAGCGUGGGGAGCAAACAGG